UUUUCCUUAUCAAGUGUGAGCCAGAUCUAAUUGUUUGUUCUUUUAACCAGUUAGAUUAAUAUUGGACGUUAUAUCUUAAAAUCUAAGGACAUAACUUCUACAACCCUAUGUAGACAGGAAUAGGCUUAAUACAGGUGUGGAAAAUUGGAUUCUCUGAUAUGAAUAUGGAGUAAUGUACUAUAUUGAGUCAUUUUACCUGAAUCUAUCAAUAUGGUGAUCAUUCAAAACAACCUCUUUGGCCCUUAUUUUUUCAGUGCUAGGCUAAAUUGGUUUUUUGUUAAUAGAUAGAAUGGUAGUUUACUAGCCAUAGCUGAUUGUAACUGAUUCUCAAAGUAAUUUGUUAAAGAAACAUGGUGCAGCUGCAAAUUGGAGAAUGUACUUGCUCGAACUACUGCUAAUAUAAUCUUCCGAGCACUAUAAUAAGUCAGAUGAAAGCAAAGUCACAUAAGAAGUCUGAAGCUAAGGCGCAUCACUGAUUAGUUGGUUUGCUCGUCUCUGGAUGCAAUAAAGAGCCUUGGAUAUCAUUUAAAUCAUCUUGCAUAGAUGGUUCUUGAUUUAGAAUACUGUGAACAUUUUGAAUUUGUUUAUCUUCAUAAUCAUUAGAAUGGCAGGCGUUUUUCCAUUUUUGAGAAAUAGAAAAAGUAGUAAUUCAUAAUUUUAUUAUAUGGAAGAAUCAAUCAUGUGGCAUGUGGUCAAGAUCCUUUAUUUCUUCUUCUCUAUAGAAAAUAACUGCAUGAGAUGAGUAAUGCCUAAAA